UACGGAGGGUGCAAGCGUUGUCCGGAAUCACUGGGCGUAAAGGGCGCGUAGGCGGCCCGGUAAGCGUGUGGUGAAAGCCCGGGGCUCAACCCCGGGUCGGCCGUGCGAACUGCUGGGCUGGAGCACUGUAGGGGCGGGUGGAAUUCCGGGUGUAGCGGUGGAAUGCGUAGAGAUCCGGAAGAACACCAGUGGCGAAGGCGGCCCGCUGGGCAGUUGCUGACGCUGAGGCGCGACAGCGUGGGGAGCAAACAGG
rnacentral:rRNA from 1 species